UAGCAUAUCAAUAAGCGGAGGAAAAGAAACCAACAGGGAUUGCCCUAGUAACGGCGAGUGAAGCGGCAACAGCUCAAAUUUGAAAUCUGGCGCAAGCCCGAGUUGUAAUUUGUAGAGGAUGCUUCUGGGUAGCGACCGAUCUAAGUUCCUUGGAACAGGACGUCAUAGAGGGUGAGAAUCCCGUAUGUGACCGGCCCGCACCCUUUACGUAGCUCCUUCGACGAGUCGAGUUGUUUGGGAAUGCAGCUCUAAAUGGGAGGUAAAUUUCUUCUAAAGCUAAAUACCGGCCAGAGACCGAUAGCGCACAAGUAGAGUGAUCGAAAGAUGAAAAGUACUUUGGAAAGAGAGUUAAAAAGCACGUGAAAUUGUUGAAAGGGAAGCGCCUGCAACCAGACUUCGCGGCAGUGUUCCGCCGGUCUUCUGACCGGUUCAUUCUCUGUCGCGAGGCCAUCAUCGUCUGGGCCCGCCGGAUAAGACCUGAGGAAUGUGGCUCCCCCUCGGGGGAGUGUUAUAGCCUCUGGUGAUGCGGCGUGGCUCGGGCGAGGUCCGCGCUUCGGCAAGGAUGAUGGCGUAAUGGUUGUCGGCGGCCCGUCUUGAAACACGGACCAAGGAGUCUAACAUCUAUGCGAGUGUUCGGGUGUCAAACCCCUACGCGUAAUGAAAGUGAACGGAGGUGGGAACCGCAAGGUGCACCAUCGACCGAUCCUGAUGUCCUCGGAUGGAUUUGAGUAAGAGCAUAGCUGUUGGGACCCGAAAGAUGGUGAACUAUGCCUGAAUAGGGUGAAGCCAGAGGAAACUCUGGUGGAGGCUCGCAGCGGUUCUGACGUGCAAAUCGAUCGUCAAAUUUGGGUAUAGGGGCGAAAGACUAAUCGAACCAUCUAGUAGCUGGUUCCUGCCGA
rnacentral:rRNA from 1 species